UGCAGUCGAGCGGACAGAUGGGAGCUUGCUCCCUGAUGUUAGCGGCGGACGGGUGAGUAACACGUGGGUAACCUGCCUGUAAGACUGGGAUAACUCCGGGAAACCGGGGCUAAUACCGGAUGGUUGUUUGAACCGCAUGGUUCAGACAUAAAAGGUGGCUUCGGCUACCACUUACAGAUGGACCCGCGGCGCAUUAGCUAGUUGGUGAGGUAACGGCUCACCAAGGCGACGAUGCGUAGCCGACCUGAGAGGGUGAUCGGCCACACUGGGACUGAGACACGGCCCAGACUCCUACGGGAGGCAGCAGUAGGGAAUCUUCCGCAAUGGACGAAAGUCUGACGGAGCAACGCCGCGUGAGUGAUGAAGGUUUUCGGAUCGUAAAGCUCUGUUGUUAGGGAAGAACAAGUGCCGUUCAAAUAGGGCGGCACCUUGACGGUACCUAACCAGAAAGCCACGGCUAACUACGUGCCAGCAGCCGCGGUAAUACGUAGGUGGCAAGCGUUGUCCGGAAUUAUUGGGCGUAAAGGGCUCGCAGGCGGUUUCUUAAGUCUGAUGUGAAAGCCCCCGGCUCAACCGGGGAGGGUCAUUGGAAACUGGGGAACUUGAGUGCAGAAGAGGAGAGUGGAAUUCCACGUGUAGCGGUGAAAUGCGUAGAGAUGUGGAGGAACACCAGUGGCGAAGGCGACUCUCUGGUCUGUAACUGACGCUGAGGAGCGAAAGCGUGGGGAGCGAACAGGAUUAGAUACCCUGGUAGUCCACGCCGUAAACGAUGAGUGCUAAGUGUUAGGGGGGUUUCCGCCCCUUAGUGCUGCAGCUAACGCAUUAAGCACUCCGCCUGGGGAGUACGGUCGCAAGACUGAAACUCAAAGGAAUUGACGGGGGCCCGCACAAGCGGUGGAGCAUGUGGUUUUAUUCGAAGCACGCGAA
rnacentral:rRNA from 1 species